GGUCUGCUGUGUAUUCUACUAUACUGUGUUGUGUUAUACUGAGCUGUUGCAUUGCAGCCUUCUCUCACAUCUUGGAGCUUAUCCCUCUAGUGUGGUUGGAUAGUCGUAAAGCAAAGAGCAAGUAAAAGCAAAUGCAAUUUUCUUAUCGGGGUUAGAUAAGGAACGUCUCUUAUUCGCGAGUACGACGUCCUGCUAACAUAAGCUGAAGGAGGAAAGCCUUCCUCCACGACUUCCAGGAACCCUUUGAUGCUUAUCGCUUUCUAAGAUUGUUCAGAAGGGGGUGGCACGGUCGAAGGAACACGGCGCACGCCAUAACACUCUAUGGGUGUUCAGGGCUUGCGCCGCGGAGGGAAUCGCCAGCUAGCUGAAUGAUAGCCAUAAGAAGAUCGCCAAGCAUUAAGCAAGCGACAUGAUGAGUCUGGC
rnacentral:lncRNA from 1 species